AUCCAGCAGAAGAGCCUCAAAAAGGACGAAACGCGCGUCCUCGAU
rnacentral:hammerhead_ribozyme from 1 species